rnacentral:rRNA from 1 species
GAUGAACGCUGGCGGCGUGCCUAAUACAUGCAAGUCGAGCGAACAGACGAGGAGCUUGCUCCUCUGACGUUAGCGGCGGACGGGUGAGUAACACGUGGAUAACCUACCUAUAAGACUGGGAUAACUUCGGGAAACCGGAGCUAAUACCGGAUAAUAUAUUGAACCGCAUGGUUCAAUAGUGAAAGACGGUUUUGCUGUCACUUAUAGAUGGAUCCGCGCCGCAUUAGCUAGUUGGUAAGGUAACGGCUUACCAAGGCGACGAUGCGUAGCCGACCUGAGAGGGUGAUCGGCCACACUGGAACUGAGACACGGUCCAGACUCCUACGGGAGGCAGCAGUAGGGAAUCUUCCGCAAUGGGCGAAAGCCUGACGGAGCAACGCCGCGUGAGUGAUGUAGGUCUUCGGAUCGUAAAACUCUGCUAUUAGGGAAGAACAAAUGUGUAAGUAACUAUGCACGUCUUGACGGUACCUAAUCAGAAAGCCACGGCUAACUACGUG